rnacentral:rRNA from 2 species
CGGCGCAACGCCGCGUGAGUGAUGAAGGCUUUCGGGUCGUAAAACUCUGUUGUUAGGGAAGAACAAGUACAAGAGUAACUGCUUGUACCUUGACGGUACCUAACCAGAAAGCCACGGCUAACUACGUGCCAGCAGCCGCGGUAAUACGUAGGUGGCAAGCGUUAUCCGGAAUUAUUGGGCGUAAAGCGCGCGCAGGCGGUUUCUUAAGUCUGAUGUGAAAGCCCACGGCUCAACCGUGGAGGGUCAUUGGAAACUGGGGAACUUGAGUGCAGAAGAGAAAAGCGGAAUUCCACGUGUAGCGGUGAAAUGCGUAGAGAUGUGGAGGAACACCAGUGGCGAAGGCGGCUUUUUGGUCUGUAACUUGACGCUGAGGCGCGAAAGCGUGGGGAGCAAACAGGAUUAGAUACCCUGGUAGUCCACGCCGUAAACGAUGAGUGCUAAGUGUUAGAGGGUUUCCGCCCUUUAGUGCUGCAGCUAACGCAUUAAGCACUCCGCCUGGGGAGUACCGUCGCAAGACUGAAACUCAAAGNAAUUGACGGG